GCCCCCGUAGCUCAAUGGAUAGAGCACCUGACUUCGGAUCAGGUGGUUGGGAGUUCGAAUCUCUCCGGGGGUG
rnacentral:tRNA from 2 species